rnacentral:rRNA from 1 species
AUUGAACGCUGGCGGCAGGCCUAACACAUGCAAGUCGAGCGAGCGGCGGACGGGUGAGUAAUGUAUGGGGACUGCCCGAUAGAGGGGGAUAACUACUGGAAACGGUGGCUAAUACCGCAUACUAUCGGAUAACCCAUAUGGGAUUAGCUCGUAGGUAGGGUAAUGGCUUACCAAGGCGACGAUGCCUAGCUGGGCUGAGAGGAGGAUCAGCCACACUGGGACUGAGACACGGCCCAGACUCCUACGGAGGCAGCAGUGGGGAAUAUUGCACAAUGGGCGAAAGCCUGAUGCAGCCAUGCCGCGUGUAUGAAGAAGGCCCUAGGGUUGUAAAGUACUUUCAGUCGGGAGGCGUUACCGACAGAAGAAGCACCGGCUAACUCCGUGCCAGCAGCCGCGGUAAUAC